UUUGAUAUUGUCUUCUGCAGAGCAAAUAAAUUCUGGAAAACCGUCAGCUGAAGUUGUGUGUCUUCUCACCCUA